GAUGAACGCUGGCGGCGUGCCUAAUACAUGCAAGUCGAGCGAACAGACGAGGAGCUUGCUCCUCUGACGUUAGCGGCGGACGGGUGAGUAACACGUGGAUAACCUACCUAUAAGACUGGGAUAACUUCGGGAAACCGGAGCUAAUACCGGAUAAUAUAUUGAACCGCAUGGUUCAAUAGUGAAAGACGGUUUUGCUGUCACUUAUAGAUGGAUCCGCGCCGCAUUAGCUAGUUGGUAAGGUAACGGCUUACCAAGGCAACGAUGCGUAGCCGACCUGAGAGGGUGAUAGGCCACACUGGAACUGAAACACGGUCCAGACUCCUACGGGAGGCAGCAGUAGGGAAUCUUCCGCAAUGGGCGAAAGCCUGACGGAGCAACGCCGCGUGAGUGAUGAAGGUCUUCGGAUCGUAAAACUCUGUUAUUAGGGAAGAACAAAUGUGUAAGUAACUAUGCACGUCUUGACGGUACCUAAUCAGAAAGCCACGGCUAACUACGUG
rnacentral:rRNA from 1 species